UACAGAGGGUGCAAGCGUUGUUCGGAAUUAUUGGGCGUAAAGGGUGCGUAGGCGGUUUGGUAAGUCUGAUGUGAAAUCUAUGGGCUCAACUCAUAGUCUGCAUCGGAAACUGCCGGGCUGAGUGUGGGAGAGGUGAGUGGAAUUCCUGGUGUAGCGGUGAAAUGCGUAGAUAUCAGGAGGAACACCUGUGGCGAAAGCGGCUCACUGGACCAUAACUGACGCUGAUGCACGAAAGCUAGGGGAGCAAACAGG
rnacentral:rRNA from 1 species